rnacentral:lncRNA from 1 species
AGGUGACACUUCAGGUUCAUGCUCUGCCACUCAAGGACCAUAAAUUUGGGUUCCCGAGGCAUUCCAGAUUCCACAGAGCCGAGUUCCAGUCUGCUCUUUUUGGUCGUGGCGUCUCCAGCACCGAGAGCGAUGUGUGACAGGCAGUGGAGCAUCUGCAGAUAUUUGCCGCCAAGACUGUGCCUGCGGUGGCACAGCAGGCACCUGGCAAAACCCAUCACCCGGGUGUGGUCCGGCAGCUCAGGAAGACAAAGUGGUCUGCCUAACUCCGACUCAUUCCCGCUGCAGACUGCCCACAUUCCUUUCUGCGUCACUCUGCCAGCUGUCGAGUCCAGACCCAUCCUGCCUACCUGCAGCCCUGCACGGCCUCCACUUUGUUCUCUCCCACCGUAACUGAAACCACAAAACUAGUGUGUAGCCAGA